UUUUGUAAAGGCGAAACUUUCGAGGGAAUAAGAAUCAGAGGGAUCCUUUGAAGAAUUUGACUUCAAAUUCUCGGUUUUCGCCAUCGAAAAUUGAAGAAUCAAUGAUAAAAAGUGUUCGGUUUUUAUCAAUGAUUUAUUGAAUUGGAAUCCCACAUUUGGGAGGUAAAUCAAUGGUGGAAUAAUGGAGAGGCUUUUGGAGUAGCACCAGUAAGGCAAAACGAAAGAGUAAAAGCCAAAACGGUUUUGAAUUUUCCAUAAAUUGAGGGAGG
rnacentral:lncRNA from 1 species